UACGUAGGGUGCAAGCGUUAAUCGGAAUUACUGGGCGUAAAGGGCGCGUAGGCGGCCUACUAAGUCAGACGUGAAAUCCCCAGGCUUAACCUGGGAACUGCGUCUGAUACUGGAUGGCUUGAAUUCGGGAGAGGGAUGCAGAAUUCCAGGUGUAGCGGUGAAAUGCGUAGAGAUCGGGAGGAAGGCCGGUGGCGAAGGCGGCGCUCUGGAACGUUUCUGACGCUGAGGCUCGAAAGCGUGGGGAGCAAACGGG
rnacentral:rRNA from 1 species